CCCGCGGCCACCACGAGCUAGACUCAGUUUUUUCCACUGGAGCUCGCCUGGACGUUUUGGGCCGUGAACGCUGUGCCUUCCUGCCCAGCGGCCCUGCCUUCGGGUGUUGCCAAUACCUGCAGUCUGUGCCGAAGCUGGUUUCAAGCAGCUGGUGGCCCGCAGAGCCCAGAAUCCACCGUUUUCUCCAGGAGGUUUGUGUCAAGGAUGAGGACUCACACUCAUCACGAACCAAAUCUGUGUGCGGCCACGGGGACCUCGCACACCGUGAGCGCGACAGCAGGCUGCAGGGGUUGCAGAUGGCAGGUUCAGAGACGGCGCUGUGCGGACGGGGUUCGAGCGAGCCCUCCACGGGACGUGAAGCUCUCAAGACAGCUGAGCCCUCGAAACACCCGUCACCGUGCCGUGAGCUCGGGCUUCAUCCUUCCCGCGCAUCAGCAGAGCCUGACCGGUCACGAGCAAUCACUCCCUCCUCUGGUGGCCGAGUUGUCUGUUGCUGCAAAACAAAGCUGGCUGGCUUGAACGAGGACACCCCUCAUCUCACAACGUGCGUCCGUCCGUGAGUCAGGGCCUCGGGAGCUGGGCCGUCUGGCUCAGGGUCUCUCCAGAGGUUGUGGCCGGGACGUCGGCCGAGGCCCGGGUCACCUGCAGGCUGGACGGGGGCUGGAGGGUCCCCAAGUUGGCCCGCUCGCGCCGAGUCGGCGGGCGGCCCCAGGUCCUCGCCCCGUGGACUCUCCCGGGGCUGGUCCCCCCGGGGCGAGCUGUCCGCGGGGGACACAGGGCAGCUGCGUGAACCGAUCUCGGGCGGAGCACACACUGCCCUCGUCAGCAGCACGUCACCAAGAAGAUCCCGCAAUGGAGGGGAGAAGUGUCACAGGAUGUGGGGACAUGACCAAAGCCGCCACGUCCCGUAUCCGGAGGGGAACGGUGCCAACAGCAGUGUGUCAGUCACCUCCUGCUGACGGGCAAAGCCCAAGGAGAUGACACAUCCCCCAGGGCCCCUUCUGAUCCGUAGACAGUGGUGACGGUGGACAAAGACCGUGGAAGGCUGCCUGGUGCACAAGGGACCGAGACGUUGACCUGGAACUGGUAGCCUCGAACUCUGACUGGGGUGGAAUCACCUGGGAGGUUUUGAAAGGCCGCCGCCCAGGCCCCAGACGGGAGAGCCAGUGCCCUGGUGGCCAGCGGUGAGAGCCCGUCGCUGAGCCCAAGCGGGUGGACGCUGCUUCGGGGAGCCCCGGCCGGGUACGACCUCCUGGGUAGGACCGUGCUCCCCUCUCCCCGGCUGCGUGCCAGACGGAGGCUGUGGUUACCGUCAGGCGUCCGGGUCCUCUCUGUGGCUGCCGGAUGAUCCUUCCCAGACGUGGCUGGAGUCCCCAGGAGCACAGAGCCUGACUGCUGGGCUGGACGCCGGGCAGAGAGGCUGUGGCUGCAAGCUGG
rnacentral:lncRNA from 1 species